GAUGAACGCUGGCGGCGUGCUUAAUACAUGCAAGUCGAACGAAUGGAUGUCUAGCUUGCUAGACUGAAGUUAGUGGCGAACGGGUGAGUAAUACAUAGGCAAUCUGCCCUGAAGUGUGGGAUAGCUAUUGGAAACGAUAAUUAAUACCGCAUAGGUAGUAAGAAGGCAUCUUCCUACUAUUAAAGAUGCGUUUGCAUCGCUGCAGGAUGAGCUUAUGGUGUAUUAGCUAGUUGGUGAGAUAAAAGCCCACCAAGGCUAUGAUACAUAGCUGGUCUGAGAGGAUGAACAGCCACAUUGGGACUGAGACACGGCCCAGACUCCUACGGGAGGCAGCAGUAAGGAAUUUUCGGCAAUGGGGGCAACCCUGACCGAGCAACGCCGCGUGAGUGAUGAAGGUCUUCGGAUCGUAAAACUCUGUUGUAAAGGAAGAAUGUCAUAUAUAGGAAAUGAUAUAUGAGUGACGGUU
rnacentral:rRNA from 1 species